rnacentral:rRNA from 1 species
GACGGGAGAUGCUAGCGUUGUUCGGAAUCACUGGGCUUAAAGCGCGUGUAGGCGGCGGGGUAAGUAUCUUGUGAAAUCCCACGGCUCAACCGUGGAAUCGCUUGGUAUACUGCCCUGCUUGAGGUAGGUAGGGGUGCCUGGAACUCUAGGUGGAGCGGUGAAAUGCGUAGAUAUCUAGAGGAACGCCCGUGGCGAAAGCGGGGCACUGGGCCUUACCUGACGCUGAGACGCGAAAGCGUGGGUAGCAAACGGG